rnacentral:rRNA from 1 species
ACAGGGUUUCGUAGUUGAACCUGCGGGAAGGAUCAUUAUUGAGAGAGGGGCCUCGUGCUCCCGGGGGUUUCUGGCCCCCAACUCUUCACCCCUUGCCUACCUACCUUUGUUGCUUUGGCGGACCCGGGAAUCCUCUCGCGCUGGCUCUUUAAGCCGGUGCGCGUCCGUCAGAGGGCCAUUUAAUUCUAUUUAAUCUAUGACGUCCGAGUCUAAACACAAAUGAAUAAAAACUUUCAACAACGGGAUCUCUUGGUUCCAGCAUCGAUGAAGGAACGCAGCGAAAUGCGAUAAAGUAAUGUGGAAUUGCAGAAUUCAGGUGAAUCAUCGAAUCUUUGAACGCACAUUGCGCCCCUCGGCAAUUCCGGGGGGCAUGCCUGUUCGAGCGUCAUUGCACCCCUCCUAAAGCGCAGACUUGGUACUUGGGCUCUUCGCGCCCCUGCGGCGUGGGCCGAAAAAGCAGUGGCGGUCCGGCGUGACCUCUUUAAGCGUAAGUGAACAUCCUCCCCGCGCUGUUAGAAGCAUCUCGUCUGUGGCCGGCCAGAGAACCUAUUUAUUUCCAUAAUGACACUCUGAUCAGGUAGAGAUA